UUACACCACUCAAGCUAUGCUUGGUAUUGGGCGUCGUCCUUAGUUGGGCGCGCCUUAAAGACCUCGGCGAGGCCUCACCGGCUUUAGGCGUAGUAGAAUUUAUUCAAUAACGUCUGUCAAUGGAGAGGACUUCUGCCGACUGAAACCUUUAUUUUUUACAGGUUGACCUCGGAUCAGGUAGGGAUACCCGCUGAACUUAA
rnacentral:misc_RNA from 1 species